rnacentral:misc_RNA from 1 species
GAUGAAGAACGUAGCGAAAUGCGAUAAGUAAUGUGAAUUGCAGAAUUCAGUGAAUCAUCGAAUCUUUGAACGCACAUUGCGCCCGCCAGUAUUCUGGCGGGCAUGCCUGUUCAAGCGUCAUUUCAACCAUCAAGCCCCAGGCUUGUGUUGGGGACCUGCGGCUGCCGCAGGCCCUGAAAACCAGUGGCGGGCUCGCUGUCACACCGGGCGUAGUAGAUUUUAUCUCGCUCAGGGCGUGCUGCGGGUUCCGGCCGUUAAAAAGCCUUUUUUACCCAAGGUUGACCUCGGAUCAGGUAGGAAUACCCGCUGAACUUAAGCAUAUCAAUAAGCGGAGGA